rnacentral:rRNA from 1 species
UACAGAGACUGCAAGCGUUAUUCGGAAUUAUUGGGCGUAAAGGGCGCGUAGGCGGCCAUGCGUGUCUUCCGUGAAAUCCCUCGGCUUAACCGAGGACGUGCGGAAGAAACUGCAAGGCUCGAGUCCGGAAGAGGGGGGCGGAAUUCCCAGUGUAGCGGUGAAAUGCGUAGAUAUUGGGAGGAACACCAGUGGCGAAGGCGGUCCCCUGGGCCGGAACUGACGCUGAGGCGCGAAAGCGUGGGUAGCAAACGGG